AAAGAGUAUCAUUCUAUCGCUACAAAACAAGUUCUUUGGAGAGGAAAGUCCGGGCAACACAGAGCAGCAUACUGCCUAACGGACAGGCAUAGGCUUGAUGGUUGAAAAACAACCAAAAAGUUUAUGACAGAAAGUGCAACAGAAAAUAACCGCCGUAAUCUUUUUUUGCGGUAAGGGUGAAAAAUCGGGGUAAGAGCCCGUAGGAAAGGUUAGUGAUAAUCUUUUUGUGCAAACCUUAUGCGUUGAAAGUCCAAAUAUAUCAACAUUAUAAUGCUUGCUCGGCAUUGUUGAGGGGUAGGACGAUAGAGUCUUUUUGCAAAAAAAGACCCAGAUUAAUGAUAGAACUUAGACAGAACCCGGCUUAUAGAUACUCUUUUCUU
rnacentral:RNase_P_RNA from 1 species